rnacentral:rRNA from 1 species
UACGUAGGGUGCGAGCGUUGUCCGGAAUUACUGGGCGUAAAGAGCUCGUAGGUGGUUUGUCGCGUCGUCUGUGAAAUUCCGGGGCUUAACUUCGGGCGUGCAGGCGAUACGGGCAAUACUUGAGUGCUGUAGGGGAAACUGGAAUUCCUGGUGUAGCGGUGGAAUGCGCAGAUAUCAGGAGGAACACCGAUGGCGAAGGCAGGUCUCUGGGCAGUAACUGACGCUGAGGAGCGAAAGCAUGGGUAGCGAACAGGAUUAGAUACCCCCGUA